rnacentral:lncRNA from 10 species
GGGCCUCGCCCUGCCCCGCGGCGGGAACGCGGCCGUGAGGGUGUGGGGUGUAGGUCCGCCAGGCCUGCAACGGCUGCCGAGGGUCGUGGGAUGCGCUCGCCGCGUCCCUGCUCAGGCGGAGGGAGCCCGGCCCGCCGCCAGGGUCUCGAGUCCGGGUCCAGGCAGGCGUGGAGGUGGCGGGAACGGCGCACCGCCCGGGUGGGCGUUGUUUUAAGGCCGCAGGGCUUGGGAGGCUUGUGUUGAGUUACAGGUCGGCCCGUAGAUCCCCGGAAGCGCCUUUGGUUGCCAGCAGGUGUCGGCGAGGGUCUUCAGUGGCCACCCUCCUGGUGGUGAUGUUUCCGUUUCUUUCCAACAGGAGUAUGACAACUUUUCAACUUGAGUGCACACACUGUCCCCGGAAUCCCGCGUUCCAGGGAGGAAGCGCCUUUGACAGCGCGCGCCGGUUCGUGGGGCCCGACGGCGUGGGCCUGUGGUUGCGGACCUGGCGGAGAUGCGCGUUCGCUUCGAUUGUAGGCCAUUCCUUUUAGGAGCUGAGAAAGGAUCCGUUUUUACAGCAUUCUCGACCUGUGAUUCUUGGUGGGGGAAACUAGUUAUGUGGAUAAAAAUACAGUUAGCAAAAUAAAAAUGCCAAUUUUACAUUUCCUUAAA